rnacentral:rRNA from 1 species
GAUACCCUAUUAUUGGAAAUGUUAAUUUUUGCUAUGAUUACUAUAAGUUAAGGUCUUUAAAGUUAAAAAAUUUGGCGGUAUUUUAGUCUAUUCAGAGGAACCUGUUUUUUAAUCGAUAAUCCACGAUAACUUUUACUUUAUCUUUAAAUUUGCAUAUCGUCGUUUAUAAAAAUUUUAGGAGAAUUUAAAUUUUUGGGGAUUUUAACGAGAAAGUAUUUCAGAUCAAGGUGUAGUUUAUGGUAAAGUUAAAAUGGGUUACAAUAUAAUUAUAUGUGGUUUUUAUUUUUAAAUAUUUAAAAUAAAAUGGAUUUGAUAGUAAGUUCUUUAUUUUUGGGAACUGACUUAGCUCUAAAAUAUGCACACAUCGCC